rnacentral:misc_RNA from 1 species
ACGAAAUCUGGCAACAAGACCUGUCCCGGGAAACCAGGGACGAUUCCUGAUAUGGCCGGACUCCCAGGAAGCUCAAAGGAGGAGUUUUUAGAGUCGGUGCGGCGCGCUCUGGGCCGCUCUUCAGAUACCGGGCCGCAGCCGCCUUAUCCCCGUCUGGAAGAGAGUCUGGCCCAACUGGAAGCCAGGGCGCAAGAAGCGAAACAGAGAAUCGACCAUGGUCGAAGCGACCUCGUAGACCGGCUGGCCGAGGUCGCUCAGUUGCGGGGCUGGAAAGUGCG